rnacentral:rRNA from 1 species
UACGUAGGGGGCAAGCGUUGUCCGGAUUUAUUGGGCGUAAAGAGCGUGUAGGCGGCCAGGUAGGUCCGCUGUGAAAAACUCGAGGCUCAACCUCGAGAUGUCGGCGGAAACCAUCUGGCUAGAGUCCGGAAGAGGAGAGUGGAAUUCCUGGUGUAGCGGUGAAAUGCGCAGAUAUCAGGAAGAACACCCGUGGCGAAGGCGGCUCUCUGGGACGGUACUGACGCUGAGACGCGAAAGCGUGGGGAGCGAACAGG